CACGUAGUUGGCCGGUGCUUCUUCUGCGGGUACCGUCACUUUCGCUUCGUCCCUGCUGAAAGAGGUUUACAACCCGAAGGCCGUCAUCCCUCACGCGGCGUUGCUGGAUCAGGCUUUCGCCCAUUGUCCAAUAUUCCCCACUGCUGCCUCCCGUAGGAGUCUGGGCCGUGUCUCAGUCCCAGUGUGGCCGGUCACCCUCUCAGGCCGGCUACCCGUCGAAGCCUUGGUGGGCCAUUACCCCACCAACAAGCUGAUAGGCCGCGAGCUCAUCCAUCACCGCCGGAACUUUCCACCACCGUCAGAUGCCUGAAGUGGUCAUAUUCGGUAUUAGCACCGGUUUCCCGGAGUUAUCCCGAUGUGAUGGGCAGAUUGCUCACGUGUUACUCACCCGUUCGCCGCUCGUGUACCCCGAAGGGCCUUACCGCUCGACUUGCAUGUGUUAAGCACGCCGCCAGCGUUCGUCCUGAGCCAGGAGUCAAACUCU
rnacentral:rRNA from 1 species